AGAAGGAAGAGCUGGUCAUACCUCUCUAGAGACCUGGCAGUGGGAGGCCGACACCCGAAGAUGCAGCUGCUGCUCCUGCUGCUUCUGCUGCUUCUGGGGCCCAGCUCCGGGCUCGGUGCUGUCGUCUCUCAGAGUCCAAGCAGGGUCAUCUGUGCAAGUGGGACCCGUGUGACGAUCGAGUGUCGCGCAGUGGACUUUCAGGCCUCAACUGUGUUUUGGUAUCAGCAGUUCCCGAAUCAGGGCCUCGUCCUGAUGGCGACUUCCAAUGUGGGCUCUCCUGCCACACACGAGCAAGGAUUCCCCCAGGAGAGCUUUUCCAUCAGCCACCCAAGUCUGACUUUCUCAUCUCUGACGGUGACGAGUGCGCGCCCUGAGCACAGCGGCCUCUACUUCUGUGCUGCCAGUGACACAGCGCGGGGCGGAGAUGAGAGGCCCAGGCAGGAACCUCUGCCCUGCUCCCCUGCACCCAGCCUGGGGAGCCCUGUGGGAGGGGGUGUGGGGGGAGGGAAACCACAGCUCCUCUGA